rnacentral:lncRNA from 1 species
AAAUUUAAAACAUGACCUUGACCUUUGACCUUGACCUCAAUUUCCUUCAAAUGGACCAAGGACUUCAUAUCAAAAGACUCUAGUCCUCAACGACUUAUAACGUAUGCAUUUAUCCAACAAAUCGCCAAUCUUAAAUUUUCAAAGGGAAAUAACUCCCAUAAGAUGUCUUUCGAUCACUCAAGUCAAAAUAAACCAAAUCAUUCUCAAGAGUAGACGAACAAUUUGAUGAAAACAGAUUGCUAAAAUCUUUUACGGUUUUAGAGUUAUAGCGAUAACAAGAAAAAGGGGACGUGGGAAGAUAACUCCCAUAAGAAUAAGUGUUUGGUCACACAGGGUGAGUUUUGAAACCCC